rnacentral:lncRNA from 1 species
CAGGAACACUCUACAGGGAACAAACACAGGCCCUCACCAGGAUGGGGCCAGAUGAUGGGGCCUCUGGAAGAGAGAAAGGCUUCCCUCAGAGAGUCGCGGGGGAGGCCCCCAGGUCGAGGAGUGAGGUUCAGAGGUUAGGUUGGUCACAGUGUCACUCGGAUAGUGGACACAGCAUUUGAACCACGGCACACCAGAGUCUGAAGCCCUUCCUCUGGCCAGAGCCCCCAGAUGGAGAGGAACAAUGACACUGUGGAGCGCUGCGGUGUCCAUCCUCCCGCUCUGUUCCCCCAGCACUUCUCACUGUCUGAAGUUUGCCCGUGGUCCGUGUGUCCCUGUUCUCGAUUGUGAGCUCCCGGUCCAGGCCGCCCCCACCCAUCCCCCAGAUGACUGCUCCAGCCCCGGCGAGACCCUGCUCCACACUUGCCGCCUCAGACU